rnacentral:tRNA from 1 species
UGGGCUAUCACCAAGCGGUAAGGUAUAUGACUUUGACUCAUACAUGCGUUGGUUCGAAUCCAACUAGCCCAG